rnacentral:rRNA from 1 species
UACUUAGGGGGCAAGCGUUGUCCGGAAUUAUUGGGCGUAAAGAGCUCGUAGGCGGUUCGUCGCGUCGGCUGUGAAAACCCGGAGCUCAACUCCGGGCCUGCAGUCGAUACGGGCGGACUUGAGUGUUGCAGGGGAGACUGGAAUUCCUGGUGUAGCGGUGAAAUGCGCAGAUAUCAGGAGGAACACCGGUGGCGAAGGCGGGUCUCUGGGCAACUACUGACGCUGAGGAGCGAAAGCGUGGGGAGCGAACAGG